GACUCUCAACUCAACAAGCGGAUAAAAGGAGCGAAAAUAAGUUGUUUAAUAAAAUUUCAUUUUGCUAAAUAUUCCUUUUUUUUAAAAAGAAAAAAAACGUACAUUACCCUAUUUAAGUAUAUUCUUGUAAUAAACAACAGCAGGAGGGUGUUUGGGACAUUAAACUUGGAUAAUAUUUACCUUGUCCUGUCUGUCACUGAAAUAGUUGGCUAUUUCCAACUUUGAAAUGAAAAUUUUUAAAAUUGCUCCUGUAAAUUCCAUUUUUCUUUUUCUAUUUUUUAAAAAAGGGGAUUAAUGUUCACUUGGCUUUGAACCUAGCCAGAGAUUUCUGUAUGCUUGUGAGGAGGGAGAAAGUUAUUCCAAACUAGAGUAAUUUCAUUCCAAUCCACCUGUCUGAGGUCUGCGUCUUGAAACGCUGCAAUGGCGCCUGUGAAAACUAAAGGAGCUGUUGUAUCUUUGAUCUCAGUGUCCAUGGUAGUGCUCUCAUGCAUGCUCUGCAAAUACACAUCCAAAGAAAAAAACAAUUCAUUUUUGACUCAUAGAUGCUGUGGGUACCUUGAGCUAUUGGCCGUGAAGUAUCUUGUAAAUAAGGUCUUUUUCUGGGGAGCUCUUCGCCCAUGAAUUGCUUGGGGACUGUCAUGCACAAUCAUUGGCUUUGAUCACAUCAUUGUAACCAUUUUAUGCAGUAUGGGGAUGAGGCAUCUUAGGAAAUUCUAUAGUCCAAAGCAUCUAUCAAAGAGCGGUUCGAAACCAAUUGCAUUUGGUUUGGAGUUUCUUGGUAUAAUGAAGAUUUGGCUGGCCAAGAUCUUAAUCUUUGUCCACGGUAAAGGUAAUGCAAGAUGCUCAUUGCAAAGGUUUCAAGGCUGUAGUGUAACUGUGAAUGUUUGAUUUGGAAAUUCUGGAGAUGCAAUACCGAGCAGUGAUGUUACACAGAUUGAUCACUAUUCUUUAUAAGGAUUAGAACAUUAUUUUGUUACAGAAUAGUGCAUACAAGGAUUAUUUUUGGUUGAGUUGUGUUUGUCGCAAUGUUGAUGAGGAAAUCUUUGUGCUUUACUUUUUCUCUAUAUAUAGAUCAUUUCACGUCAA